rnacentral:rRNA from 1 species
GGGUAGUCCAGCCCAGGCGAUGGUUGUCCUGGGGUAAGCAUGUAGGGAGCGAGGUAGGUAAAUCCGCCUCGUAUAUAUCCUGAGAUGUGAUGCCGAGCCGAUUGUGGUGAAGUGGAUGAUCCUAUGCUGCCGAGAAAAGCCUCUAGUGAGUGUUGUGGCGGCCCGUACCCUAAACCGACUCAGGUGGUCAGGUAGAGAAUACCAAGGCGAUCGGGUGAACUGUGGUUAAGGAACUCGGCAAAUUGCCCCCGUAACUUCGGGAGAAGGGGGACCUCUGCUGGUGAUGGGCUUUACGUUCUGAGCUGGUGGGGGUCGCAGUGGCCAGGGGGAAGCGACUGUUUACUAAAAACACAGGUCCGUGCGAAGUCGUAAGACGAUGUAUACGGACUGACGCCUGCCCGGUGCCGGAACGUUAAGGGGACCGCUUAGCCAACGCGAGUUGGCGAAGGUGAGAACUUAAGCGCCGGUAAACGGCGGUGGUAACUAUAACCAUCCUAAGGUAGCGAAAUUCCUUGUCGGGUAAGUUCCGACCUGCACGAAUGGCGUAACGACUUCCCCGCUGUCUCAACCACAGACCCGGCGAAAUUGCACUACGAGUAAAGAUGCUCGUUUCGCGCAGCAGGACGGAAAGACCCCGGGACCUUCACUACAGCUUGACAUUGGCGUUUGGAACGUCUUGUGUAGGAUAGGUGGGAGACUGGGAAGCUGUCACGCUAGUGAUGGUGGAGUCAUUGGUGAAAUACCACUCUGGUCGUUUUGAACGUCUAACUCUGGUCCGUGAUCCGGAUCGGGGACAGUGUCUGGUGGGUAGUUUAACUGGGGCGGUUGCCUCCUAAAGAGUAACGGAGGCGCCCAAAGGUUCCCUCAGCCUGGUUGGCAAUCAGGUCUUGGGUGUAAGUGCACAAGGGAGCUUGACUGUGAGACUGACAGGUCGAGCAGGAGCGAAAGCUGGGACUAGUGAUCCGGCAUCGGCGUGUGGAAGCGGUGUCGCUCAACGGCUAAAAGGUACCCCGGGGAUAACAGGCUGAUCUUCCCCAAGAGUCCAUAUCGACGGGAUGGUUUGGCACCUCGAUGUCGGCUCGUCGCAUCCUGGGGCUGGAGUAGUCCCAAGGGUUGGGCUGUUCGCCCAUUAAAGCGGUACGCGAGCUGGGUUUAGAACGUCGCGAGACAGUUCGGUCCCUAUCCGCUGCGCGCGCAGGAGACUUGAAGGGGGCUGUCCCUAGUACGAGAGGACCGGGACGGACGAACCUCUGGUGUGCCAGUUGUACCGCCAGGUGCACGGCUGGUUGGCUACGUUCGGAAGGGAUAACCGCUGAAAGCAUCUAAGCGGGAAGCUCGCCUUGAGAUGAGGUCUCCCACCCCGUGAGGGGGUAAGGCUCCCGGUAGAUCACCGGGUUGAUAGGCCGGAGGUGGAAGCACGGUAACGUGUGGAGCUGACCGGUACUAAUAGGCCGAGGACUUGACCAA